rnacentral:rRNA from 1 species
AUGAACGCUGGCGGCGUGCCUAAUACAUGCAAGUCGAGCGAACAGACGAGGAGCUUGCUCCUCUGACGUUAGCGGCGGACGGGUGAGUAACACGUGGAUAACCUACCUAUAAGACUGGGAUAAUUUCGGGAAACCGGAGCUAAUACCGGAUAAUAUAUUGAACUGCAUGGUUCAAUAGUGAAAGACGGUUUUGCUGUCACUUAUAGAUGGAUCCGCGCCGCAUUAGCUAGUUGGUAAGGUAACGGCUUACCAAGGCAACGAUGCGUAGCCGACAUGAGAGGGUGAUCGGCCACACUGGAACUGAGACACGGUCCAGACUCCUACGGGAGGCAGCAGUAGGGAAUCUUCCGCAAUGGGCGAAAGCCUGACGGAGCAACGCCGCGUGAGUGAUGAAGGUCUUCGGAUCGUAAAACUCUGUUAUUAGGGAAGAACAAAUGUGUAAGUAACUAUGCACGUCUUGACGGUACCUAAUCAGAAAGCCACGGCUAACUACGUG